rnacentral:rRNA from 1 species
CCAGACUCCUACGGGAGGCAGCAGUAGGGAAUCUUCGGCAAUGGACGAAAGUCUGACCGAGCAACGCCGCGUGAGUGAAGAAGGUUUUCGGAUCGUAAAACUCUGUUGGUAGAGAAGAACGUUGGUGAGAGUGGAAAGCUCAUCAAGUGACGGUAACUACCCAGAAAGGGACGGCUAACUACGUGCCAGCAGCCGCGGUAAUACGUAGGUCCCGAGCGUUGUCCGGAUUUAUUGGGCGUAAAGCGAGCGCAGGUGGUUUAUUAAGUCUGGUGUAAAAGGCAGUGGCUCAACCAUUGUAUGCAUUGGAAACUGGUAGACUUGAGUGCAGGAGAGGAGAGUGGAAUUCCAUGUGUAGCGGUGAAAUGCGUAGAUAUAUGGAGGAACACCGGUGGCGAAAGCGGCUCUCUGGCCUGUAACUGACACUGAGGCUCGAAAGCGUGGGGAGCAAACAGGAUUAGAUACCCUGGUAGUCCACGCCGUAAACGAUGAGUGCUAGAUGUAGGGAGCUAUAAGUUCUCUGUAUCGCAGCUAACGCAAUAAGCACUCCGCCUGGGGAGUACGACCGCAAGGUUGAAACUCAAAGGAAUUGACGGGGGCCCGCACA